UACGGAGGGUGCAAGCGUUAUCCGGAUUCACUGGGUUUAAAGGGUGCGUAGGUGGGCAGUUAAGUCAGUGGUGAAAUCUCCGGGCUUAACCCGGAAACUGCCAUUGAUACUAUCAGUCUUGAAUACCGUGGAGGUGAGCGGAAUAUGUCAUGUAGCGGUGAAAUGCUUAGAUAUGACAUAGAACACCAAUUGCGAAGGCAGCUCGCUACACGAAUAUUGACUCUGAGGCACGAAAGCGUGGGGAUCAAACAGG
rnacentral:rRNA from 1 species